UGAGGAAUAUUGGUCAAUGGACGCAAGUCUGAACCAGCCAAGUAGCGUGCAGGAUGACGGCCCUAUGGGUUGUAAACUGCUUUUAUAUGGGGAUAAAGUGGGGAACGUGUUCCCUUUUGCAGGUACCAUAUGAAUAAGGACCGGCUAAUUCCGUGCCAGCAGCCGCGGUAAUACGGAAGGUUCGGGCGUUAUCCGGAUUUAUUGGGUUUAAAGGGAGCGUAGGCCGUUUGGUAAGCGUGUUGUGAAAUGUAGGAGCUCAACUUCUAGAUUGCAGCGCGAACUGUCAGACUUGAGUGCGCACAACGUAGGCGGAAUUCAUGGUGUAGCGGUGAAAUGCUUAGAUAUCAUGAAGAACUCCGAUUGCGAAGGCAGCUUACGGGAGGGCAACUGACGCUGAAGCUCGAAGGUGCGGGUAUCGAACAGG
rnacentral:rRNA from 1 species